GACGGACGCUGGCGGCGUGCUUAACACAUGCAAGUCGAACGGAAAGGCCCUGCUUUUGUGGGGUGCUCGAGUGGCGAACGGGUGAGUAACACGUGAGUAACCUGCCCUUGACUUUGGGAUAACUUCAGGAAACUGGGGCUAAUACCGGAUAGGAGCUCCUGCUGCAUGGUGGGGGUUGGAAAGUUUCGGCGGUUGGGGAUGGACUCGCGGCUUAUCAGCUUGUUGGUGGGGUAGUGGCUUACCAAGGCUUUGACGGGUAGCCGGCCUGAGAGGGUGACCGGCCUCAUUGGGACUGAGAUACGGCCCAGACUCCUACGGGAGGCAGCAGUGGGGAAUAUUGCACAAUGGGCGGAAGCCUGAUGCAGCAACGCCGCGUGCGGGAUGACGGCCUUCGGGUUGUAAACCGCUUUCGCCUGUGACGAAGCGUGAGUGACGGUAAUGGGUAAAGAAGCACCGGCUAACUACGUG
rnacentral:rRNA from 1 species